AGCGAACGCUGGCGGCAGGCCUAAUACAUGCAAGUCGAACGCACCUUCGGGUGAGUGGCGGACGGGUGAGUAACGCGUGGGAACGUGCCCUUUGGUUCGGAACAACACAGGGAAACUUGUGCUAAUACCGAAUGUGCCCUUCGGGGGAAAGAUUCAUCGCCGGAGGAUUGGCCCGCGUCUGAUUAGCUUGUUGGUGAGGUAACGGCUCACCAAGGCGACGAUCAGUAGCUGGUCGAGAGGAUGAUCAGCCACAUUGGGACUGAGACACGGCCCAAACUCCUACGGGAGGCAGCAGUGGGGAAUAUUGGACAAUGGGCGCAAGCCUGAUCCAGCCAUGCCGCGUGAGUGAUGAA
rnacentral:rRNA from 1 species